rnacentral:rRNA from 1 species
CCUACGGGGGGCAGCAGUAGGGAAUAUUGCUCAAUGGGGGAAACCCUGAAGCAGCAACGCCGCGUGGAGGAUGAAGGUUUUCGGAUUGUAAACUCCUUUUGUUAGAGAAGAUAAUGACGGUAUCUAACGAAUAAGCACCGGCUAACUCCGUGCCAGCAGCCGCGGUAAUACGGAGGGUGCAAGCGUUACUCGGAAUCACUGGGCGUAAAGAGCGCGUAGGCGGGAUAGCAAGUCAGAUGUGAAAUCCUAUGGCUUAACCAUAGAACUGCAUUUGAAACUGUUAUUCUAGAGUAUGGGAGAGGUAGGUGGAAUUCUUGGUGUAGGGGUAAAAUGCGUAGAGAUCAAGAGGAAUACUCAUUGCGAAGACGACCUGCUAGAACAUAACUGACGCUGAUGCGCGAAAGCGUGGGGAGCAAACAGGAUUAGAUACCCUAGUAGUC